UCCUUGAUGGCUCAGAUGGUAAAAGCGUCUGCCUACAAAGCGGGAGACUUGGGUUCAAUCCCUGGGUCAGGAA
rfam:Ovis aries breed Texel chromosome 16, whole genome shotgun sequence.